rnacentral:rRNA from 1 species
UACGGAGGAUGCAAGCGUUAUCCGGAUUUAUUGGGUUUAAAGGGUGCGCAGGUGGUUUAAUAAGUCAGUGGUGAAAGUCUGCCGCUUAACGGUAGGAUUGCCAUUGAUACUGUUGGACUUGAAUAUGGAUGAGGUAGGCGGAAUGUGUAGUGUAGCGGUGAAAUGCAUAGAUAUUACACAGAACACCGAUUGCGAAGGCAACUUACUAAUCCAUCAUUGACGCUGAGGCACGAAAGCGUGGGGAUCAAACAGGAUUA